UACGUAGGGCGCAAGCGUUUGUCCGGAAUUAUUGGGCGUAAAGAGCUCGUAGGCGGUUUGUCGCGUCUGCUGUGAAAACCCGAGGCUCAACCUCGGGCCUGCAGUGGGUACGGGCAGACUAGAGUGCGGUAGGGGAGAUUGGAAUUCCUGGUGUAGCGGUGGAAUGCGCAGAUAUCAGGAGGAACACCAAUGGCGAAGGCAGAUCUCUGGGCCGUAACUGACGCUGAGGAGCGAAAGCAUGGGGAGCGAACAGG
rnacentral:rRNA from 1 species